UACGAAGGGGGCUAGCGUUGCUCGGAAUCAUUGGGCGUAAAGCGCGUGUAGGCGGUCCGGUAAGUCCGCUGUGAAAGUCGGGGGCUCAACCCUCGGAUGCCGGUGGAUACUGUCGGGCUUGAGUACGGAAGAGGCGAGUGGAAUUCCUGGUGUAGCGGUGAAAUGCGCAGAUAUCAGGAGGAACACCAAUUGCGAAGGCAGCUCGCUGGGACGUUACUGACGCUGAGACGCGAAAGCGUGGGGAGCGAACAGG
rnacentral:rRNA from 1 species